rnacentral:rRNA from 1 species
CCUACGGGAGGCAGCAGUGGGGAAUAUUGGGCAAUGGGCGCAAGCCUGACCCAGCAACGCCGCGUGAAGGAAGAAGGCUUUCGGGUUGUAAACUUCUUUUGUCAGGGACGAAGCAAGUGACGGUACCUGACGAAUACGCCACGGCUAACUACGUGCCAGCAGCCGCGGUAAUACGGAGGUGGCAAGCGUUAUCCGGAUUUACUGGGUGUAAAGGGCGUGUAGGCGGGGAAGCAAGCCAGAUGUGAAAACCACGGGCUCAACCUGUGGCCUGAAUUUGAAACUGUUUUGCUUGAGUGCUGGAGAGGCAAUCGGAAGUCCGGGUGUAGCGGGGAAAUGCGUAGAUAUACGGAGGAACACCAGUGGCGAAGGCGGAUUGCUGGACAGUAACUGACGCUGAGGCGCGAAAGCGUGGGGAGCAAACAGGAUUAGAUACCCGUGUAGUC